UGGGGACACCCAAGGAUUUGGGGGACACUGUGGGGACAUUUUGUCCUGAGGGUCCUGAGGGGACACAAACCCCCCAAAAUGGACACAACCUCCCCCCCAAAAGUGGGGACACCAAGAACUUGGGGACACCCAAGGAUUUGGGGA